rnacentral:rRNA from 1 species
GACGAACGCUGGCGGCGUGCUUAACACAUGCAAGUCGAACGAGUGGCGAACGGGUGAGUAAUACGUGAGUAACCUGCCCUCUUUUUGGGAUAAGCCUUGGAAACGGGGUCUAAUACCGGAUAAAGGGGGAUGGGCAGGCGGCCUAUCAGCUUGGUGGUGGGGUGAUGGCCUACAAGGGCGGUGACGGGUAGCCGGCCUGAGAGGGUGACCGGGGAAAUUGGGAACGGGACACGGCCCGGAGUGAUACAGGAGGCAGGAGUGGUGGAUAAUGCACAAUAGGCGAAAGCAGGAUGCAGGGGCGCCGGGUGGAGGAUUAAGGGUUGCGGGGUUUUAUCCGCUUGCGCUAUCGAACGGGUAGGUGGAGAAGGAGGGCCGGCUAACUACGGGGCAGGAAGCGGGGGAAUUC